UUUUUCAGGUAUCGCGGGCGAUAAGUAGUGGGACGAGACAUGAGGUACGUGUGUAGCGGUCGAUAGAGCUUCCAACCCAGGUUAUUUCGAUUUAGUUAUUAUCCUUGGUAUUUCUGUUGAUAUAUAGUUUAGUUAGUUUAUGUGGUUCAGUAUUUAUUUACAUUUGAAAAUGUGGAUUUCUGGAUUUUGUAAAAUAAAAGGUUUUCUACCCCUCGUGGUAGCGUUUUUAAUAAAAUAAAGGUUUCUGUGUAGGAAACAGUUUUCAAAAGAUUUUUGUGGAUUUCUGUUUAAACCUUGAAUGUAAAACUGUGAUGUGAAUGGUGAAUGUAUGAAUGUAUAGUUAUUUUUAUAUUCAUCUGGUUGUGGUUGUAUCCUGGUUGUACUGUGUAUUUGAUCGACACCGUGCAAAUAUAGGGGAGACUCUGUCCGUGUGAACAGUGGAUUCCCUGUAUUUGUGGCGGAUCUGGCAUACUCUAGGGUCAGGUUUUCAAAAAAAAAAUUCAGACGCUUUUCCGCUUUGUUUUAAACUGAAAAGGGACCCCGGGGCGUGACAGUCCACCAGACCUAUGAAAGAUCCACUGAGUCAAGCUCCAUCCAAAUAAGACUCCUAAACAACCCAAACAAACGACUAUAGAAACCAAUAACACAAAACCCGCAGGAACUUGCUUGAACUCUAGGAACUUGUCGGAACGUCCUGGGAACCCACAAACUGCUCUGAAAAUUCCCGAUCACAAUCGUAACUAUCUGCUGUAUCCCAAAAGCACCAAACAAGUACCCGGGCAGCAACAACCCUCAACGAAGAUUAAAUGAUCAACUAUGCAAAAAUCUGCCGAACCGAAUUUUCAAAAUCAUCGAAACAGAGUCCAAAACCCUCCCGCCACUAAUUUACCACCAUCGAACUUUGAGGAUGGUAGUAGCAACCAGCCAACAAGCCAUGGCGGGGUUCUCAAGCUAUCCGCAAUGCUAUAACACCAAAAUCCACUAAUUAACCCGCGCCUGAUCGGCGAAUUUCUACCGAACGACGCCGUAGGGCCACGUUUUAACUCC
rnacentral:lncRNA from 1 species